rnacentral:rRNA from 1 species
CCUACGGGUGGCUGCAGUGGGGGAUAUUGCACAAUGGGGGAAACCCUGAUGCAGCGACGCCGCGUGGGUGAAGAAGCGCCUCGGCGCGUAAAGCCCUGUCAGCAGGGAAGAAAAUGACGGUACCUGAAGAAGAAGCCCCGGCUAACUACGUGCCAGCAGCCGCGGUAAUACGUAGGGGGCAAGCGUAAUCCGGAUUUACUGGGUGAAAAGGGGGCGCAGACGGCGAUGCAAGCCAGGAGUGAAAGCCCGGGGCCCAACCCCGGGACUGCUCUGGGAACUGCGAGGCUAGAGUGCAGGAGGGGCAGGCGGAAUUCCUGGUGUAGCGGUGAAAUGGGUAGAUAUCAGGGGGAACACCGGUGGCGAAGGCGGCCUGCUGAACUGCAACUGACGUUGAGGCCCGAAAGCGUGGGGAGCAAACAGGAUUAGAUACCCGGGUAGU